CUUCGUUUACCCCGACACCGUUUGGUUUUCUGCGUUUCAGCCUCUGUUUUUUCACCUCUCCCUGGUUGCCAAAACGACGCCGUUCAUUGUUCUCAGGGUUCUCUUGUCUUCUUCCCUACGAUCACCGGCCUUCAAUUUCUCGACUUCCUCCAUUCUUCCGGAAAAUGAAGCUCUUUUCGAUCUCCACUAGCCAGUGUUGGGGGUCUUGAAAGGGGUUGCAGCCCAUUAGUAAGGUAUAACUGAAUCUAAAUUAAAAUUAACCUGAUUCUCAAUUUUGUUGGAGAAUUUUGAAUUUAGCUUAUUUCUAUUGCACUUCUCCCUGCAGGUUUGCUCCAAAAGAACGAUUCUAUAAAAUGACGGGGAUUUCACUUCCUAAGAAUAUGUCCAUAAAUGCUUCAGGUACAAACCCUAAUAAAAUAAACAACUAUAAAGGUAUAAAUGCGAAGUACUAAUUCUAUGCAAUCAUGUGAUUGAGUUCUUGGAAGAUUCAGAUGUUAAUUUGAUGGAAGUAGGAAAAUAAAUUUGUGCAUGGAAAUAAUUUAGACACAAGUUUUAACAUUCAUUUUCACAUCUACCUUGGGUGGAGGAACAAGUGCUUUCAACCCUAAAACAUGGCUGGAUUGAAGGGAAGAUUAAAAAGAUAUGUAGUUGAAUCUUCCCGUGAAAUUAGUGCUUUGCAUAAUGAUAAUGCAUAAUGCUUGUCUCAAUCAUGAGUUAGUUUCUUUUGGGAAAUUAGGGUAGUGGAUCCGCAAUAAUGCCUUCCUCAACUGAGUUUCCUUGUUUGUGUUAUGUUAAUGAGCUGAAUUUUAGCUACAUAGAACCCUAACUAGCACCAAAUCAUUAUGUCAAAUCUUCUUCCUCUUAUUCUAAUAACAAAGUUAGGAAUUAGUAUGAAGUCAGUAGUUCAAAGCAGGAAAACAAUAUGCCAAGCCUUUUUCUUCUUAUUCUAGUAGCAAAACAGCAAUAUAGAUGAAACCGGGACUCCCAAGACACUAACUUGGUUAGGCGCAGGGUAGUACAAGCUCCUUUGAGAAGAGGGUAUGGACAUAGCUUUUAGCAACGGUAAGUAGAAAAAAUUCUUACUAGAUUACACUUUUUUCGCCAAAAAGGAACAAAAGAACUCUCAUCUGAAAUCUACACAGAUUUUGAAGGUGUGAGAUGCUAACAUAACUAUGUUUCUUUUACCGUAACUUUAUUUGAUUAGUUCUUUAACCAUAACUGUAUUCUUUUUGUCAUUGUGAUGUUGAGUUUCUUUUGGAACUCAUGGUUGAGCCUUCCACAGUGAGGAGAUGUCGGCCACGGCUUCUCCAACUGCCAGGUAGAGUCCAUUCAACCCAAAGGAAUCCAAUAUUUUUGACUGAUGUAGCUUUUCCAUCACAUUUCCAGCGGGAUUUGCCAACACAAACUACACGAGGAAGUGGAAAUAAGGGCUGGUGUUAGAAAGUGGGCAUUUACUAGAAAAAACUAUGCAUAAUUGAUUAGAUGUUUCUUCUUACCUGAAGUGAUCUUUUCUCCAGCAUCUUUCGGAGUUCACAUAUCACGUCAAUACCACUUGUGUCUAUUGCUGUCACAGCUGCAAGAAUGGAAAAUCAUAAGCCAAAGGUACAGGGAUAGCUGAAUUUGUUAUUUCAUUUAGAAACUUGAUUUAAAAGUUAAAAGUGCAUUGAUUGGAUGGCUUAAACCACCCAAAACCACUUAGGAAGUUGGUUUUUGAAACUGAAAUAAACCCAAACCCAACAAUAAUUGAGAAAUGGAUACACAUCUCUACAUCAGUACAGGAGACUCCACAUUGUGGAACAGCUAAGAAAAAGACCACCACUAUGUAAUCUUCUUGUGGGUGAAGUUCCCCUCUUAUCUGAGGUGGAUUAUUCUCUACAAACCCUAACCAACCUAUUGCCAUUCCUACCAUACAGAAUUGGAGAAAUCUCAUUUUCCCACAGAACAAACAAAUAUAUAAGCCAUCCCAAACUCAACUAGUUCUGAAUUUGCUUUAUGGAAAUAACUUGACACUUUUCAGGCAAUUGAGUGCAGCAUGAUCAUGUGCUUAUAAGCAGAGAACUGUUGAAAAUUUAGCAAAAGGUUCGUAUAUACCUGUCAUGUCUAAAAUUACACAUUUCAGCGCAUUCCCAUUGUUUGCUUGUAUCUGCUCUUCUUCCUCACGGACCCAUCUUAGUAUCCUGGAAUAGGAGAAUUCUUCAGUCAGAUAAACUUGACACAAGAAGGUGAUGGUGGUAUCUCUACUAUACUCUGAUAUUAUUUUCCUGAAUUUAUGGUGACAUACACAGCUGCUGUCUAGGGACACGAUCAUCUACAAGUCCUACUUGGAGGUAAAUCAGGCACACUAGAUUGGUGAUAACAGCCUCAAAUGAUGGUAGGGCCAUUAGGGUAUGCUAUUAGUAUAUAUUCAGGAGAUACCAUAUUGAACUAACCUUUCUUGUAUGUAAGUGGAAUUUGCAAAGUAGAUGGGAGACUCCACAGCAAGUAUAAGAAAUGAAGGAACCUUCAUUGCUUCUCUGUAUCGGCUGGGAUUUUGAUAUAUUUGAGUUCCUGGGAUAUUCCCUAAUACCAUAGUGUUUGGCCUCGUGACAUGCAAGAGAACCUUGAAUACUGAUACUCCAACCUAAAUUAUACAGCUAAGUCAUCAGAUAGAGACCAAAUAAUAGAAUCAUGUAUUUGUAAAAGCCAUAGAAAUAUCAGCAUUAGUAGCAUAUUUCUGAAUUACACUUGAAUUCAUAUAAAUGAUAGGCAAGAACAUGAAUAUUCAGAAGACCAAAGCAAAAAUGCAGAACUUAUUUAUUUUUGUUCUCAGAGAAGCAAGCAAUUAGAAGGUUAAGUCUGAGAUGGG
rnacentral:lncRNA from 1 species